GAGCAAUUUGCCUUGCCUCUAAUUAUGUCGCCGUUUCAGUGGUUUUCUUGAAAUAGUAGCGUAGGGUCGGGAAAAUUAAAACAAAGACAAUUUUCUUGAAAAGUUAAUAAUUUUAUAAGCAGCCAAGGAAAAGUAAUUUAAAUAUGGGUAAAAAUAAAGGAGGAGGUGGUGGAGGCGGCGGCGGCGGUGGUUCCGGUGGUGGUGGUGGCGGCAAUAAAAAAGGCGGAGGAGGUGGUGGUGGCGGCGGCGAUAAAGGAGGUGUCAAGAAUAAGGGUGGCGGUGGCGAUAAAGGUGGCGGCAAAAAAGGUCAAGACCAAAAGGCUGCUGGCGGCGGAGGUGGUGGCAAAAAAGGUGGCAAGAAGUAGCAGCACCAACCAUCCACUCACACAAGUUGGCCAAUUUGUUAUGAUUUCUUUGAGUUGUUAGCUUAAAUUCAAUAUUCUUAUAUUAAUUGUAUAAUUAAUGCAAAUUUUUUUAAUGUGAUUAUAAAGAAUGUGGUGUGAUUUAGAAUGAAUAAAAAGUAUUUUUUAUAA